GUUUUGCCUGGCAUUCUGCAGAAGCAUUGCUGUAUCUUACCAGACAGGAAUACAGGCAAUGCUGUGAAGCGUCAGAGGGAAUUCCGUUGGUUACUUUCCCAUACGGUCUUGUUCAGCUGCUUGUUCUCAGAAAAGUGUGUUUGUUGGUGGAGGAGAAUGCGACCAAGGAGACCAUCCUUUUCAUGAAGGCACAAACGUGAAUACAUAUGUGACUUUUAAGCCUUUAAAUAAAAACCCAAAGCACA
rnacentral:misc_RNA from 1 species